rnacentral:rRNA from 1 species
GAUGAACGCUGGCGGCGUGCUUAACACAUGCAAGUCGAACGAAGCAUUUAGGACAGAUUACUUCGGUUUGAAGUUCUUUAUGACUGAGUGGCGGACGGGUGAGUAACGCGUGGGUAACCUGCCUUGUACUGGGGGAUAGCAGCUGGAAACGGCUGGUAAUACCGCAUAAGCGCACAAUGUUGCAUGACAUGGUGUGAAAAACUCCGGUGGGAUAAGAUGGACCCGCGUCUGAUUAGCUAGUUGGUGAGAUAACAGCCCACCAAGGCGACGAUCAGUAGCCGACCUGGGAGGGUGACCGGCCACAUUGGGACUGAGACACGGCCCAGACUCCUACGGGAGGCAGCAGUGGGGAAUAUUGCACAAGGGAGGAAACUCUGAUGCAGCGACGCCGCGUGAGUGAAGAAGUAAUUCGUUAUGUAAAGCUCUAUCAGCAGGGAAGAUAGUGACGGUACCUGACUAAGAAGCUCCGGCUAAAUACGUG